rnacentral:rRNA from 1 species
AUUGAACGCUGGCGGAAUGCUUUACACAUGCAAGUCGAACGGUAGAGGGGGCAACCCCUCGAGAGUGGCGAACGGGUGAGUAAUAUAUCGGAACGUGCCCAGUCGUGGGGGAUAACGUAGCGAAAGUUACGCUAAUACCGCAUACGAUCUAAGGAUGAAAGCGGGGGAUCGCAAGACCUCGCGCGAUUGGAGCGGCCGAUAUCAGAUUAGGUAGUUGGUGGGGUAAAGGUUCACCAAGCCAACGAUCUGUAGCUGGUCUGCGAGGACGACCAGGCACACUGGAACUGAGGCACGGUCCAGACUCCUACGGGAGGCAGCAGUGGGGAAUUUUGGACAAUGGACGCAAGUCUGGUCCAGCCAUUGCGAGUGCAGGAUGAAGGACUUCGGGUUGUAAACUGCUUUUGUACGGAACGAAAAGGUCUCUCUUAAUACGGGGGACUCAUGACGGUACCGUAAGAAUAAGCACCGGCUAACUACGUGCCAGCCGCUGCCGUAA